rnacentral:lncRNA from 1 species
GCGAGGGCGCGGUAAAUGGCGCUCUGAGUACUUUCUGUCUCAGUCCGGCUGGCCGCUCACGCGUCGGGCCCCCAUUUACUCUCGUUACUGAGGAGACACGGCUCCAGUUUUGACCCGACUACGGUUGUUUUCUUCGUGUGUACCGCGAAAUGCUGAUGACGUCCGGUUCCGCGCAGUUUUUUUCCUAUUUCGUUUCCAACCACAGUUGUGCGGUUCACAGAUUUUUCCCUUGGGAUGUGUUUUCCAUACCUCCAAGCCCACUCUCAGAGCCUUGGGGCCCCAUAAAACUUCAUGCGCAGCUGCUUUCUGGUAUUUGCAGACCUGGAAGGCUUCUCGUAUUCUUAAUUUGGGGAAGAGAGACAUAGGUUUCCUUGUACAACGGGAUGAGGAUUUAAGAGCAGAACGACACUGAUAUUUUAAAGGCGAGGGUAUUUAGAUUUGUGGAGCUGAAACUUGCCUGAAAAGGGAGACAAAAUUUGGAAGUUUGUUGUGUGCAGUUUCUGCCCCUUACCCCCGCCCUUCACUUUUAAACUGCGCAUAUAUCAACAAUAGUUACGGUUGUUGCAGCAGUCUAAAUUUGAUUAUCAGAAUUGACCCUAGGCAUGAAUUUUUUUUUAAAUAUACCAAUGUCGUGUUAUAUACACUUAUACCAUUAUGUCCAGACUUCUCUUAAGCAUAGUUCGUGGUGGGCAGUUUUGUGGUCAUUUAGGGAUGAACUUGGGUAGGGAAAGCUGAGCAUACAUAAUUUAUUUUAGGAAUGCACCAGUUCUGCCAACAUUUAUCAGAAGUCACGUUUUUAAAAAGCUAUUCUGGAACUGAAGAUGUCAUUGGUUUAUAAGAGGAAAAUGGAAGCCAAAAGCUUACACCUCAUGCUCUAUCUUUAAAAAUUAAGGUGGCAGACACAAUGAGUAGAAGGCUUUUAUGUUACCAGAAUGAAGGCUUAAAAUCUGUCAUUUUAUUGACUCGGCUUUCUUUUUAGAAAUUUCUUUAAGAUAUAAAAGCAAUGUGGAAUAUCACUCUUUCACACUCUUAAAAUAGAUUACGUUCUCUGGAACUUCUCUAAUCUGAAAUGUGUUCAAAAAGGAAAAAGAUCUUUAAAAUACGCCAGUUAGUCUAUGGUAUAAUAUUAAACACUAUUCAUCACUAGAGAAGUUAUGGUGGUAUACCCUCCCCUUUCUCAGAUGUCCACCUUAAUGCCAGAAAUGAGCGGAGUUUCCCUUUGUUGUGCAAAAUGACUGUGUCCUUGAGGGAUGUUUGGAUGCUCUUGGUAAACCGGAAUCAGCCAGAAGCAUAUCCGGUGUUAGCCUUGUUGUGUCAUCAACAUUACAACAGUGAGGAAACCCACAUAUUCCAAUGAAAGAGGAAAACUUAAAGAAGAAGUUUCCAGUGUAUUUUCUUUGAGAUAUAUUUAUUCCUAUGACCUCAGAAGAUCAGCUUUUACCGUCCAAGGUUCACUUUGCCUAAAAGCUGAUUGUUCCUGUGGAAACAGUAGCAUCGGAUGACCCUACAAACAAAGCAUUAUGACAUCAUCAGAGCCAACAACCUGGCAUGACAGAUACUAAUAAGGAAAAAAGAGGUUACAAGAAUUCUGACACUCAUCACAGUGGAUCCAAUAUCUGGUCCCUUGGGUUUCAUAUAUGUUAGAAGUAUCUUCUCAGGAGGGAAAAGUCAAUGCCAGUCAUAUCCUUUCUAGCUAUUAGAAAUGUCCAUCAGCUUACGAGGAGAUUCUCCCUCAUCUCACAAACUACCUGCAUCUCCACUUCCCUGGAAGAAAAAAAAAAUCUGGACAUACCCAAGCUGUGUAUGUGCCUGAGAUCUUCCCUUCCAAGGGUGCCACCACAGGUAACCAUCAGAGAACACACUGCUAUUUUCAAAUAAACAGAACUGAACAAAA